AAUUUGUUGGUCCAAAUUAUACGGACCCUGCCUUAUAUUACUCUUAUACAAUACACUCUCACAAACAAACGAAUUUAACGUUCUUCAACCCACUCUUAGAUUCUUCUUCUUCCUCCCUUCCCCUCUUGCUCUCAAAUUUUCAAAUUUUUGCUCUCAAAUUUUCAAAUUUUCAAUCAUUCCUAUCGCUCUCGAUAUGAUAUCAUCAAGAAUAACAAAAAAUCUGGAUACAGAAACCUUUUAUUUCCUCUCCCACAAAGUACGCGAGUUCUGAAAACCCUAACUACCCAAAUCGAUUUCUGUUCCGAUCCACUCUCAUGAAGCCUUCUCGCGAUGUCUGUUCUGGAAACUGGAUCCACUCUCAUGAAACCUUCUCGCGAUGUCUGUUCUGAAACCUUUUACUACCCAAAUCGAUUUCUGUUCCGAUCAAUCGCGAUGACAGCGUUGUUGUUUUCCCUAAUUUUUAGAUUUCGAAACCCUAAUUUAAAAUUUCAAUUCUUGAAAAUUUCUCCUAACUUUCUUUCAUCCAUUUCUUCAAAAUUUUAAUUUUUAGAUUUUGAAACCCUAAUUUUUACUUUGGGUUUGAUUUGUUUUUGUUUUAGGCGCCGGAGACGACGUGGCAGCAUCAUUUGUAUGGAGAGAUCAACAUGUGGCUGCGGCGGCGGCGUUUCCUGCCCAAGGUGGUCGUGCUUCCUGCCCAAGGUGGUCGUGCGGCUUCCAUAGAAACUGGAACCAAGCUCUAUAUAUCUAAUUUGGAUCAUGGUGUUUCCAAUGAUGAUAUAAAGAUAUAUCUAUAAAUGCUGAAAAUCUUUGCAUGAUAAGUUUUGAGAUGGUCAGGAUAAACCAGAGGUUCAACGAGAACAUAAAUAUGAGGUGUUGAUAUUAUUGGGUGAUGCAACCAGUGCACUUGGACAUAUGAGCAAAGGUGUAGCUGCAUUGUCUAUGGAUAAGUUCAUUCAAAGUCGACAGAGACAGGAAAACAAAUGUGCGGAGGAUUUUGGUGACGUUGUUAGAGAGUGAGGUGGAGCAUUAAUUAUGUUAGGCACCUUUCUUAAUCCCAGAUCAAAGAAAAUGUUAUCUGGCAUAAGUCAACGUCAUGAUGUUCCAGAUGAGAAUAAUGUGCUGCUUGCCGUCACCGACGAAGGGUAAAAGGAAACGGGAAGAUAGAGCAUGGUCGAGAUUUCCCAAAAAUUAUAAUAGAUAGAAUUUGUUAUCGAAUAAUCAGUGACUAAACCCCUUCCUGGGAGUCAAGGAGAGCAUGGUGUUAUUGGAUCGGCGAGAAGAAUUCCUUUAAACGAUAUUGCUAACGUUGGUUCUUCAUCUUUAAAAAAAACAGCAAAAUCACCAGCAACAACAAGUUCGUUGAAGGCAGGGAAAUAUACAGUACGUAAUGGUACAUUUAUUAAUCGCGCAAGAUGUUCACUAAGAGCUUCGUUUAGGCGGAAUGUGGAAUCUAUCAAACCACGUCAUAUUGCAUUCCAAGUGCUGCUGCAAACAUGGCCAACCAACCUAACUUUGCCCGGGAUACUUGGAAAGAUACAGAUGACUGGAAACGAUAAAGACCAGAGAUAAAUGGCCACUUCUGAUUUGGUUAAUUAGUUGACCAAACCCACUUUUAGGGCCGAUCCUGAUCUCGAACUUAAAUUGAAAAAUAUCAUCAUACAACAACUAGACAUGCUGCUAGUGAUGUUUCUGGACUUGCUGUCAAAUGCCUUGCUCCGUUAGUCAGGAAGAUGAAUGAGCCUUGCACCGUUAGUCAUCAUGCCUAUUGAAAUGUUUCAGAUGACAAUGGAAGUUACACAGAUCCAAUUAAAUGCCCAAGCAGUGGAUGGUGCUGUGAGGAAACAAGCUGAAGAUAACUUGAAACAAUUCCAGAUACCAGCAGCAGCGAAGACACAAUGAUGGUACUGAAGAUGCUGGCCUUGUUGGUCAUAUAUUCAUCUAAAUGAGUUCAAAUUUUGGCGUUCCUCUGGUGGUCUAUUCCAAAGGAAAAACUAUCAAUGCGAAGGAGGUGCUAGCUGCUGGUCCUCGGCCUCAACCUAUAAUGGAAACAGUUUUAAUUACUCUGAUGCAUGUUGGAUUACAUAGUGAGAAGGUGGAGUUAGAGGCUGUUUUUAUGAUAUGCGUGGUUUCUGCUGUUGAUUCUUGUCAAUGAGAAUUGGUCUGCACUGUACUUGACGAUCUUUCUAAGGAGCUUCAGUAUAUGACUAGAACGAAGAUGCUUAUUUGCUCUAUUAUGAUCUCGGACAAUAACUUGAUUUUCAUGCUUUUGUUCCGUAUACAUGUUACUAAGUAUUGAGUGAGAUUUACUGCAAGGUAAUAGCUCAACUUUGCUUCUAGUACUGCUCUAAUAAAAAGUCUGUUAGUUGCAAAGGCGAUCUGCGAUCCUUAAAUAUAGGACAUGAACAAGCUGCGAGAGAUAUUUUGAAUUCCAUUUGUAAUUUGAUAAAAAAUUUAUGCUUCCGAUUUGAAGAAUUGAAAAUCGUUUUAUUUCUAAAUUUUUAAAAUUAGAAAAUAUUUUCUAAACACUAUUUUCAAACCAGCGAUUAGGGAAAGAGAGGGAGAGAUAAGGCGAGGACGACCGGAAAUGUCUUUGGUUUACAAUAGAGGCUAUUUGUGUGGAUGCGAGUUGGUGACUGCAGUUGGAAAGAGAGAAAUGUCCUGCUACCAUCAAAGGGUGAAAUACACUCUGUGGUGUGAGACAUUAGGUAUUGUGCCUUAUGAGAAUGUUGACAUGGUAAGAUGAAGUGUGGUCAUGCUGACAGGGAUCAUGUCCUUGCAGAGCGGCAAUUGGUGGAGAUGGUAGCUGCGUGUGAUGGUGUGUUCAGAUCUUAUUCUCGACGAAGGAGAUGGAAGAUAGAUGUGUUGCAGAUCUUGUGAUGGAGGGCUGCUGAUCUGGUUGUAGAUCUUGUGGAUGGCUGCCGAUCUGGUUGGAGAUCUUGUGAAAGAAGGAUGCGGUUAGAGAAGAGAAGAAGAGAUUGCGUGUUAUGAUGCAAUAAUUUUAGUUUCGUACUCUAUUUUGUUCGUUGAAUGUCUUCCAAGAAUGCAAUAAUUUUUGCUUUUGCUAGUGUUAUAUUUCUUGUCCUCGUCUAUAAGUUUUCACUUUUCACCUUUUUGUUCCUUUUUCCAGGUGUCCUGGACAUUUUUAUCAUGUACGGUGCAUAUACAACUACCAGCUCUAUCACGGAUUUUUCUAAGAUUUCUUUGGUUUAGCCUUGCUUUAGUUUUGUAACUUUCCUUUAUGUGUAUAUUUGCCCAAAAUAAUGAUUUUUAUCUUAUAUCUUCAGGUUUUUGUUGUUUUUUAUUGAUGUGUUGAUGAUGUUUACAUUUACAACUCUUUGUUAUGAUGGCAGAAAAGCACUCCAGGAAGAGAGUAAAAGCGAUUCAAAUUCGAUUCCUGCAUUGUCAUCUUCUGACAAACCAAUGUGAUCGUUGGCCUCUCAUUCGCUUUGUGAAGUGGCCGCGCCAGGAACGACAUUAUGUUGGAUGGGGAAUGUAUGAAAGGAGUUUCGAUUUCAUAAAGUAUAUGCUGUUUUGGCUAGUCAUUUUGAGUGCAAAAUUUUUAUUUGCUUACUUUCUUCAGGUACGUGACAUACUCAUAGUUGCCUCCAAAUUGGAAUUAUACUGUUAGAACUGGUAUCUAAAUUAAUUAAAUAUACUGAAUUUACUAGAAUAUUUUAGAUAAUAAAUCUUGAAGCACUGUUCCGAAGAGCAGUGAUUACAUAUAAUGCAGUAGCAGUUCUUCCUCUGGCCAAAACUGACAGAUUCAUUUUCUGACGUAACAAUUACAGAAGUUACACACAAAUGACAGGAAUUUGAGAGCCCGUCCUCUCCCUAACCAACCGGUUUAUACCAAAUAAUGCUUCAAUUAAAACAACAAACUACUAUUUAUAGAGUUACACACACACUAAUAAAAACAUAACUGACAUAAUUAAAAUAACUUCUCCUAAUAAUAUAAUAACUGCCAUUAAUUACAUAAUAAAUACGUAAUAAUAUUUACUAAUAAGUGGUCUAACGUAUGCAUCUGUUUGUUCUUGUGUGCCUAUAUGUGGGUGAGUGGAUAAUAUUGCUUGUACCUACUGUGCGUAUGCUUAUAUGCUUGUACACUUGAAUGUUUUAUUUUUGAGGUUUUCAGAUCAAGCCACUUGUGAAACCAACAAGGGACAUAAUAAUAGAGAAAAACUUAGUUUACUCUUGUCAUGAUUUUGUAUCUAAAAGUAAGCGGUGGUCUGUUUAAGUUUGUGGUUAUGUCUUUUUGUUUCCUGUUGAUGCUAUUGGCUACUAAAGUGCCUUUAUUUUUGCUGAUAAUCUCAAUGCUUUGACAAUUGUUAGCAUAUGGUCUCCAGUGGUUUUCGUAAGUGCAUCACUGUUUUGCCUUUUUACCCCCUUGUAUGCUUUAGUUCUACUUUUUUCGUUAAUGAUAGCUUUCUUCUCUCGUGGGGAUGAAAUUGUGUUUCAAGAGGUUGUUGAAGUUUGGUGUGAACUAUGAAGUAGCACAGAUAUUAAUGUGAUAUUUAUGUACGGUAUCAUUUCUGAAGCCUUCUAGCAUUUUAUGUUUAUGUUCAUUUGCACUCAAAACAAGCUUUUCUGCUGAAAGCUAUAUCUUGAAAAACAUGUUUAGCUCUUGUAAGUUGUAACUCAAAUACUCAAAUAAAUAUAUUAUUUUAGGAGGUAUUGAACUAAUAUUGAGUUGGAACAUUUUCAGUACUGAUGGUUGUUUUUGUUAUUGAUUUAUCUCAUCCUUUUCACCUUGACUGUUUCUAUUGUGCAGGAGAAUGAGGAUAGAUAUAUUAUACUACCUAGGAGAUGCUGCUCUGUUUUCCUAUUAAUAUAAAUAAAAUACUUUACAUUUUUUUUUUUUUUUUUUUUAGCGUUUAUAAUAUAGCUCCAUUACUAAGAUUUUGCAUCUACAAACGGUUCCCCCCGAGAGCCCCUUGAUUGAUUAUUUGGCUUUCGUCAGGCUCACAACGAAAGUUGCGCUCAAGAUGGCUUGUACCUUACACUGUUAGUCAAGUCUUUCUUCAUGGAGCACUUGAAGCUUCUAAAGAAGAUGGCACCACUUUCAUAGUUAAUGGACAACAUGCAAAACAUUACGAGGAAGGGUUGCUCCAAGUGAGAUAUGUCGUUUGCCUCAGUGAUUGAAAGCUUUCUCAGGGAAGUCACUGUUACUCUCUCUCACUUAUUUACUUCUGUGCCUGGUUGAAUAUUUGACAUUGAAGACCAUGCUCUGAACUAGCACAAUGUGCUAUGUUGACUAUCUUUUUGUAAACUAUCUUCUAAAUGUGAGAUUUGAGCCUCUAUAAGGGGAUACAUUCUAGAACUUGUCUUGUGUUCCACUGAAAUUGAAAUGCAUAAAAUUGCAGGGUAAGGGGACAUAUAAGAAUGAUAAGGCUGGAUUGACACUUGCUGAUCUUGCUUACCGACGUGCAAAAGCAGUGAAGAAUCAUCAAAAGAAAUCUAAUAAAUCUAAUCCUUUGCCAAAACCUUCCUCUUCCAGGCUAGAGGAAAUGCGGGAGCUAUUCCAGAGUGACGUGAAGGAUAAAAAGCCGAAACGGAGAGGUUCUUGAACAGGAAAGAAGGCGAAGAAGUCAUUGAAAAGCAAGUCAAGCUGUAACCAGUGCUGCCAUGCUGAUCGGUUGCAGUUCCCAGGAAUUAAUAACGGCAUUAUCUACCCAUAAAAUCCAACCUUGCGAGCGAGGACACUGUUGCCACAAGUUUGACAUUAUUGCAGGCAAUUGAAACAAGAGAUACAAUUGCCAAAUUUAUUUAUGCAAGCUUGUUUGAAUGGCUUGUACAACAAGUUAACAAGUCACUUGCAGUGGGUGAAAACCAUACAGAGAAAUUCAUUAGUAUCCUUGCUUUUUAUGUGUUUCAGCCAUUCCAGGUAUUCAAUUUGUAUUAAUUUGCUAACAUGGAGAUAAGAGACUCUUGAAGUAAACAAAUUGUGUGCAUUUUUUGGAACAAUGAAAAUGCCAAAAAGAAUUCAUUAUUUCCAGAAAUAAAUCAUUCCUACUUAACAUUUUAUCUUCUUUCCAUCACAAUGAUACACUUCAAGAGUCCCACAUCUUAUUAGCAAGUUAAAAUGAACACAUUUUUUGAAAAUGCAAAUAGAAAAUGUUUUCAUUAAGUCAACGGGGCCUUAAAUUUUCUGUUUCAAAAGAAAUAUUUUCAUUGCUUUCAUGAUAAUGAUAUCAAUACAGUAUAGCAUAUUUAAUCAUGUAGGUACUCGUAUGAUAACAUUGUUUUUCCUCGUCAUUCCCCUAAAACUCUACACCCUUCACUAAACCCUCACUUUCAUACUUGCUCAUGCUUGUACCUACUGUGCGUAUGCUUAACAUGCUUGUACACUUGAAUGUUUUAUUUUUGAGGUUUUCAGAUCAAGCCACUUGUGAAAGUCACUGUUACUCUCUCUCACUUAUUUACUUCUGUGCCUGGUUGAAUAUUUUACAUUGAAGACCAUGCUCUGAACUAGUGUGGGGGAGGAUAUUUAUCUUGGGUAAGGGGACAUAUAAGAAUGAUAAGGCUGGAUUGACACUUGCUGAUCUUGCUUACCGACGUGCAAAAGCAGUAAAGGCCACCAAGAGGGCACUAGACUCUGGCAAGAUUGUGAAGAAUCAUCAAAAGAAAUCUAAUAAAUCUAAUCCUUUGCCAAAACCUUCCUCUUCCAGGCUAGAGGAAAUGCGGGAGCUAUUCCAGACUGGCGUGAAGGAUAAAAAGCCGAAAUGGAGAGGUUCUUGAACAGGAAAGAAGGCGAAGAAGUCAUUGAAAAGCAAGUCAAGCUGUAACCAGUGCUGCCAUGCUGAUGGGUUGCAGUUCCCAGGAAUUAAUAACGGCAUUAUCUACCCAUAAAAUCCAACCUUGUGUGCGAGGACACUGUUGCCACAAGUUUGACAUUAUUGCAGGCAAUUGAAACAAGAGAUACAAUUGCCAAAUUUAUUUAUGCAAGCUUGUUUGAAUGGCUUGUACAACAAGUUAACAAGUCACUUGCACUGGGUGAAAACCAUACAGAGAAAUUCAUUAGUAUCCUUGCUUUUUAUGGGUUUCAGCCAUUCCAGGUAUUCAACAUGAUUCGUUGCGUGUGACAGACUUGAUAAUUCCUUCUCAUAAUAUGUAGUUGAAGCAAAGGUGAUUUUCAAUUUGUGUUUUGAACCGUCGAUCACAUAAGAAAGAUCACUCACGCAGUCAUGCUGCAAAGAAAGUGAAAUGCAUAAAUGAAGGGGCCAUAUGGUGCAAAAGAGUGUAACCGCAACAACUCAAAAAUACGAGGAAGUUCCAUGGUUGGCCUAAGCGAAAAUGGAAGAGAAAGUGCCCUCUCUCUGCUGCCAAAUAGGCUAAAACUGGAUGAUGUCUUUGGGGCUCCAAAGUAACCUCAUUAAUGAUAACACAGCUUCAGAUUCAAUCUUCGUUGAGAUUCAAUGAAGCUUCAAAUUCAAUCUUCCUUGAAAUCCAGGUUCAGUUGAAACCCCACUACAUAGCUAGCUUAUUGUAUGGUAACUCUAAUUUGAGUGAUAAAAUAGAAUGAAAUAAUAUCGAACAAGAAGUUCUUGAUAUGAUUAAAAUAACCUUAUAAAAUAUGUUGAUUAUUGUUGGUGGUAAUAGGAACGUUAAAACUUAGAAGUUGCUCAAUGGAAAAUGUAGGGUAAUUUACAGGGUUGUUAAGCAUUAGCUGGAUUGACUUUUAUUUUUAUGUUGAGCAUUAGCUUAGGUGUAUGUGCAGGGAAUUCUUCACUCUGAUAUGUGGGGUGUGACACCCUCCAAUUUGUGGGACUGGGGUGUACUUCGGGAGAUGAUAUCAAAGAUAGGUGUAAGAAAUUCACUUCGUGUUGCCCCUAUGCCAACUGCAUUUAACAGUCAAAUUCUAGGCAACAAUUUGUGUUUUGUACCAUAUACUUUUAAUAUAUGACUAUGAUGCUCCUAUUAAUUUUCAUCACUGAACUGCUUCAGCCUUAUGUAAACUCACAACAGAUUAAAAGAGUAAAAAUAUCAAUCACAAAUGUAGAGUCCCACAACCUCAAUAUACUAACUUCAAUCUAAAUUGAAACCUCUUAAUCUAAAUCUUGUUGCAUUAAAAUGCUUACUUCAGUUAAUGAUCAGAAAUUUUGUUUGCUUACACAAUGAUGUUUUUCUUGUUCACCAAAUUGAGAGCUUUUAGCCUUAAGACUUAAGAGGUUUUAACAAGAGUUAGAUUAAGCGCUUUUUGCCUAGUUUAGGAUUGAGAUGAGCUUAUUAUUAUUCGUUUCCUUUGUGUGAUCCCUUGGUCGUAUCUCAAUCCCUUGUUCUGAUGCUGCGGAGCUGCAGCCGAAGUUUUAUUCACUGCGUAAUUUCCGUGUGCUCUGGUGACUAAGGGACGAGAUCCCGGGUCGGACGCGCUAAAUAACUCAUUCUCAGUCUUAGGCAAUAUUAACGGUCAUCAGAGUUUGGUUCCCUGUGUGCUGCGGGGUGUGUUAAGGACCAUCUGUUUUAGUGUUUUAUCUGCUAAGCUUCAAUUUGUAGUGUGGCUGGUUGUAACAGGCUGAAUGUUGUUUAUCUGUUCUGUCUGUAAUGGGGACUGGUAGAUGUUGGAAACCUGCAUAAUUAGCUAAUUGUAUGUGUAGGGGUUGUUUUGUUCUACCUGUAGUCUUUGUAUCUUUUAGGCCUCUCUUAUGCGUCAAUUUAAUAAUAUUCCCCUUUUUUGCUGUUGCAACAAAAAAAAGAGGUUUACUAAUCGUUAGUUGGUUCAGUGGUGAUUGGCGCUGAACUUGGUAGGGAGGACCGCGGUUCGAUCCUCCGCAACUACGAUCGGGAGGGGGCUGGAUCCACUCGAUGCCAGAACCGACCCCCGAACCAGAUUCAACUAGUGGUGGAAAUAAAAGAAGAAGAAGAGGUUUUCAAUGUUUUGAUUAUCUCUGUGAAUCUCUUCCUUGAAUUCUAUGUAAACAGUUGCUUUUGAAUCGUUAAUGAUGCGAAUUGAAUGAUUCAUUUGAUUUUUUGCUUCUUUAUACACAAACAUAAGUUAGUUUAACAAUGAGAAAGUUAUAUAUAGUUUAACAUUUAUAUGCAAUACAAUUAAAUGUGAAUGUGUGUUUGUGUGAAGCAAAUGAUGGAACAAUGCUAUUGGAACAGAUGACUGUUGUUAACCAGAUUGCGAAGCUGAUGGUGGAGUUUAUUGAGGAAUCAGGACUAUGAAAUUGGUGAUGGUACUACUGGAGUUGUUGUGUUGGCUGGAUCUCUUACAGCUUGGAGGUUUUGUAUGACAAACUACUCACGAUAAUGACUGGAAAUCUACAUAUUGCAAAGACUUUUGUAGUGUCUUUAACCAUAUGCUUGACAAUAAAUACAUCGUUGCUUUUUGGAACACAGCAUAUUGAACAAUUCUUCAGUCAAUUUGUUACAACACAUGUAACCUUCUUAACUCUGGUCAUUUACACUAGCAGUUCUACACACAAAAAAAACUGCCACAUAUCUUAUCUACGUUUUCAUUUGAAUGAAUCUUUCUAUCUAAAAUAUUAAAUAUCAUUGUCUGAGUUUCAUUUUCUUUUCUUUCUAAUGGGGCUCUGCAAAGAAUUUGCCUAGAUCAUGCACUUCAAGGCUGGUAAGUUUGUGAACUAUAGUUCUAUUUUGUUAUCAUUGCGAUUUCAUUUUUGGUGUUACUCGUACUUCCGACUUCUAAACUAUGUUGCAAUGAUUUUCCCUCAAUAUGUUGUAUCAGAAAUCACCACACCAAUUUUCUUUGUCAACGCGACAUAUGACUCAUGGCAGGUUGUCAAAUCCCAAGUCCUAACUGCAAGAUAUUACAGAAUUUAUCUGACAUCACUUUUACCAUGACUUGAUUGUCAGGCUUUAGAACACAAUUUCUAAGAGCAAUGACUGUAGCUUCAAUUUCACGAGUAGAUUCUAAUUUAUGAAUGAAUUUGUGUAGUUUAUUUAUCACGAUGAUUUUGACUUUGUUCUUGCUCUUGCCACCAAAUCGCCUUCAUUGCAUGAACUGACUUGACGAUUCCCUCUCGUAAGGUAUUCGACAAGAUCGACAUGAUUCGUUGCGUGUGACCGACUUGAUGAUUCCCUCUCAUAAUACGUAGGUAUCUUCUUCCAACUUCUUGGGUUUUUUUUGGAUUCUAGUUUCUUUUCAAUUGUUUUCAAUGUUUCUCAUAUGGGUUUUCGAUUUCAAUUCUUAGCUAUUCUUCUUUCAUUUCUAAUUUCUUUCCUUUUAUUAUUAGGAUUUAUUGUUUUAGGUUAAUCUUUUGGUUGUUUAUUAUCUAGUGAUAAAUUAGUAGCUUCAGUUUCACGAGCAAAUUCUAAUUUAUUGAUGAUUUUGUGCUGUUUAUUUAACACAAUGAUUUUGACUUUGUUGUUGUUGGUGAUUUCUUUUGAAUGAUGAGAACUGGUUUUAAAAGCAAUUAUUAUACUAAAAUUGUUUUGUGAUUUUUUAUCAACUAGAUGGUUGUGUGUAACAUGUAGUCCACUUUACCUAGUAGAAACAGUCUUUGGUAGUUGUUUUAUGUUCUUGUUUUUUUUAGAGUUUCUUAUUUCUAAUUACUACACCCCACUUUAUAAAACUUUGGCUAAAUGGGUUCUUUGGUCUAUCAAUAUGGUCCUUAUAAAAUUAGAACACCAUUAUUUUUUGUUUGUUUUAUGAUUUGGUCAAUUAAUAUGGUCCUUUGUCACGAGUCAUGAUACACAUUUCCACUUAGAGAAAAGAUCAAAAUACUCUUCAAGAAUGAUGUAUGAGAAAUAUACUAUAUGUGCAUAUGUGUGCUAUCAACUAUUAUAUUUACGUUUUUAAUAAUUAUAAUAAUUUCACCAUAUCAUCUUUUGUAUGUUCCCUCUGCAUAUUAAUGUUCAAGGAGGUAUAUUGUUUUGACUUCUAAUUUAAAUUACUGUUUCAAUUGAAAAUAUGAUGUUAGCAUGCAAAUAAAACUAGUAGGUUAUUGUCUACUGCAGUUUUUCACUUACUGAUCAUUACAUUAUUCAUAGGAUACGGGACUAGUGUAGAAGUAUAUUUGAUUGACAAUUAAAUUUCAAUUUAUUUUAUAUUGUUGAAACAAGAUGAAUGUACUUGUUUCUCAUAUGUGUUUAUUUGUUAUUGUUAUCGUUCUCUGCUGUUGGAUAUAUGAUAUUCUGUUUAACACAAUAGUAUUUGAUUUUCUAUUUGGUUCCAAUGUUUGAACUUUGUUGAUGAUGCUAAUUGAUUCUUAUCUAACUGCUCAACAUUGAUGCUUGAACAAAUUUCUCGAAUAUCUAACACCUAUUCUUUGUUUCCAUUUUCAUCUAUGACCGAGAAAAUUGGUAAAAAGGAAAUUGGUUUCUGUCUGACCAGCUGAAAUCAAAUUUGUCGCCUUUGUCAAAAGUUGACAAUGAGACCAUUAUGAUGUCAGAUGCAGGUCUUCUUUCUAAUACACUUGCACUGGAUGCAAUUCACAAUAUUGUUCCCUCCCAUGUUAUAAAUGUCACGGCCUUGUUUCUGUGCCUACUUUACUUGGUCAAUGAUCCAAAGGUAGUAUAUGGGGUGAGAUUGAAAUGCAGCAAGAUGUCUUAUGAGCCAAGCUUUGCAUAAGAUGUCUGGAAUUGCCUUUAAAGACGGUUGUCCAAAUAUGAUAUAAGGAGAUUCUAUUGUGCAGGAGAAUGAGGAUCGAUAUAUUAUACUACCUAGGAGAUUCUGCUCUGUUUUCCUAUUAAUAUAAAUAAAAUACUUUACAUUUAUUACAAACUCCUUUUCUCAAAUAUAAUAUAGCUCCAUUACUAAGAUAUUGCAUCUAAAAACGCUUUGCCCUUGGAGAGCCCCUUGAUUGAUUAUUUGGCUUUUGUCAGGCUCACAACGUUAAAUAAGGGUUUCGCGGGAGGCAACCUGUGUCCAUUGUUUUAUAUUUUAGUUUAUUAUUAUAAUUUUAUUAUGUUGGCAUGUUUGAUUUUGUUUUUAGGAAAUUCAACGUCUUUUUCCCAGAAAGUUGCGCUCAAGAUUGCUUGGACCUUACACUAUUAUUACUCAAGUCUUUCUUCAUGGAGCACUUGAAGCUUCUGAAGAAGAUGGCACCACUUUCAUAGUUAAUGGACAACAUGAAAAACAUUAUGAGGAAGGGUUGCUCCAAGUGAGAUAUGUCGUUCGCCUCAGUGAUUGAAAACUUUCUCAGGGAAGUCACUUUUAUUCUCUCUCACUUAUUUACUUCCGUGCUUGGUUGAAUAUUUUACAUUGAAGACCAUGCUCUGAACUAGCGUCGGGGAGGAUAUAUAUUUUGGCACAUUACUUCUGCUAAUUCUUGUUGAAUGAAUUUUCUGGCUUGUUUUAAUUAAGUUAUGCUUAAAAAUAGAGAUUAUGUCUUUGAGGUACCCUUGAAAAUUUUAUUUGACAGACUUGUUCAAUGUUGAUAAUGGGGUUGUCUUUUGAAAGCUAAUAAUUAGCAUAAUGUGCUAUGUUGACUAUCUUUUUGUGAACUAACUUCUAAAUGUGAGAUUUGAGCCUACUUAUUUACCUUGUCCUGUAAUUAUUAAACUAUUUUAAACUUUUCAGUUCAAACUAAAUAAAUUUUCCUGUAUCUGAAUUAUGUGUUUGGGUAAUGUAUACUUCAAGCAUAUUUCAUUUAGUUCGGUGGCUGUUCUGAGUCUGCACUUCCUAGUCAACCAUUUUUCUUUUCUUGUCUUUGGCGCUGUAACUUUUAGGCUCGAGUGUUUAGGAAUUGAAUAAGUCUUAGACUGUGAAUUGGAAUUAGUAAGCUAGAAGAGAUACUCCCUGGACUCUCUCCUCAGUAAGUAUACUCCUUGAACUUCUCACUUAUGCGGUUUGUAUACAAAAAGAGAAGUUAGCACUAUUUUAAACAUGAGUUAGUACCUAGGUAAUACUAAAUUUUUAAAUUUAAGUCAAAUUAUUGUAUAUGCUGUCACACAACCCUUGAAUACAACCAAUUCUUAGAGUAAAACUAAAAGCAAAACUUAAAAAUUGUCAUAUAGCAUAUAUGCUAAAAUACUAUUCCAAACACAAGAUUCAUAUUGCAUAAUUGUGAACUCUGUUGUUAAAAGUGGCCGCUAUUGUGGCGCGGCGUGGAAAAAUCGAGGUCACUGCUACUAGCCGUGUCGUAGCAGCGCAGACGAGUGAUGCGGUGGGAACUGUUGGGGUCGCAGGCGCAAUUGCAGAUCGGAUCGGCGUUGAUAUCUUUUUAUUGCUUUCUAUUAUUUUUGAUUGAUGUGAGAAAGUAGAAUAGCAUUUCGAUUGAAGAGUCAUCAAAACAGAUUGAAGACUCAUCAAAACAAUGUUUCCUUCCAGGGAUUGGGGUAGGCGAUUUUUCAGACUAUAUCAACAAUUCACAUCUUGGGACAUCCUGAACGGCCUCUUGUGAUAAGAUAUGUAUCUCUUAAUUAUUUUACAAACUCUUUUAUAUUUCAUGGAAUCUUCCCUUAUCUAUUACGACUACACCAAAUAUAAAGUGAUUAAACAUUCAACGUUUGCCAAGGUAUCCAUGUAUCAAUGCUUCAUAUAAUUUUGUUAAUGUAUUUCAUAAAUUUUUGAA